rnacentral:rRNA from 1 species
CCUACGGGAGGCAGCAGUGAGGAAUAUUGGUCAAUGGACGAGAGUCUGAACCAGCCAAGUAGCGUGAAGGAUGACUGCCCUAUGGGUUGUAAACUUCUUUUAUAAAGGAAUAAAACGAGGCACGUGUGCCUUUUUGCAUGUACUUUAUGAAUAAGGAUCGGCUAACUCCGUGCCAGCAGCCGCGGUAAUACGGAGGAUCCGAGCGUUAUCCGGAUUUAUUGGGUUUAAAGGGAGCGUAGAUGGGUUGUUACGUCAGUUGUGAAAGUUUGCGGCUCAACCGUAAAAUUGCAAUUGAUACUGGCAGUCUUGAGUACAGUUGAGGAAGGCGGAAUUCGUGGUGUAGCGGUGAAAUGCUUAGAUAUCACGAAGAACAUCGAUUGCGAAGGCAGCUUACUAAACUGUGACUGACAUUGAUGCUCGAAAGUGUGGGUAGCAAACAGGAUUAGAUACCCCUGUAGUC